rnacentral:lncRNA from 1 species
AUAAACGACUAGUUUUUCCAUUUUUCUUAUAAAUAGCCCCCCAUAAUCGAUUAUUAGACACUCCUUUGCACCCAAAUACUGCUGAAAUCAAAUCCAGAGCUCAAAAUCUCUUCAUUUCUCUUCACCUUCUUAAAGUUUCAUUUUCCCAAUCUUCCUCCAUGGCUGAACCAAGAAGGCAUCGUCGCAAGACAGCUGGAGCCUCCUCUUCUUCUCA